rnacentral:misc_RNA from 1 species
AAGUCGUAACAAGGUUUCCGUAAGUGAACCUGCGGAAGGAUCAUUAACACGUAUCCAACGUUAAACACCCUGUGAACUUUCAACCUCUGUCCAUCAGGCUACAAUCGAGCUAGGAGCAGUGGCAUGGUUUCCCUAAGCAGUGCAGAAGGAUCCACUGAGUAAGGAUAACGCCUCACGGUUGCCAGAGGUCGAUCACCGGCCGGCAGACAUGUCACAGGGCUAUAUGCCCCCUCAUUCACACCUUGCCCUAUCUGGCCCCACGGAAACGUUGGGGCACAAACCGAACAACUGUUAACAAUGGAUAUCUUGGUUCUC